UACGUAGGGUGCGAGCGUUGUCCGGAAUUAUUGGGCGUAAAGGGCUCGUAGGCGGUUUGUCGCGUCUGCUGUGAAAACCUAAGGCUCAACCUUGGGCUUGCAGUGGGUACGGGCAGACUAGAGUGCGGUAGGGGUGACUGGAAUUCCUGGUGUAGCGGUGGAAUGCGCAGAUAUCAGGAGGAACACCGAUGGCGAAGGCAGGUCACUGGGCCGCAAC
rnacentral:rRNA from 1 species